AGGUCUUGACAUCGUAUGCAUAGCCUAGAGAUAGGUGAAACUCCUUCGGGAGCAUAUAGACAGGUGGUGCAUGGUUGUCGUCAGCUCGUGUCGUGAGAUGUUGGGUUAAGUCCCGCAACGAGCGCAACCCUUACCUUUAGUUGCUACGCAAGAGCACUCUAGAGGGACUGCCGUUGACAAAACGGAGGAAGGUGGGGAUGACGUCAAAUCAUCAUGCCCCUUAUGACCUGGGCUACACACGUACUACAAUGGCAAUCAACAAAGAGCAGCAAGACAGUGAUGUGGAGCGAAUCUCAAAAAAUUGUCCCAGUUCAGAUUGCAGGCUGCAACUCGCCUGCAUGAAGUCGGAAUUGCUAGUAAUCGUGGAUCAGCAUGCCACGGUGAAUACGUUCCCGGGCC
rnacentral:rRNA from 1 species